UACGAAGGGGGCUAGCGUUGCUCGGAAUCACUGGGCGUAAAGCGUGCGCAGGCGGUUCUAUAAGACAGAUGUGAAAUCCCCGGGCUCAACCUGGGAACUGCAUUUGUGACUGUAGAGCUGGAGUACGGUAGAGGGGGAUGGAAUUCCGCGUGUAGCAGUGAAAUGCGUAGAUAUGCGGAGGAACACCGAUGGCGAAGGCAAUCCCCUGGACCUGUACUGACGCUCAUGCACGAAAGCGUGGGGAGCAAACAGG
rnacentral:rRNA from 1 species